GUGACACGAAGAUGGAGUCACAGACCCAGGUCUUCAUAUUUCUGCUCCUCUGGAUGUCUGGAGACAGGAUCAGCUUAAACUGCAAAUCCAGUCAAAAUGUGGGUAUCUAUGUACAUUGGUACCAACAGAAACAAGGGCAGCCACCUAAACUGCUAAUCUAUGAUGCAUCCAAUCGAUACACUGGGGUCCCUGAUCGCUUCACAGGGAGUGGAUCUAGGACAGAUUUCACUCUCUCCAUCAGCAGUGUGCAGGCUGAAGACCUGGCAGAUUACUACUGUCAGCAAGGUAACAGUUAUCCUUCCACAGUGCUUCAGCCUCUAACACAAACCUCCUAG